AAUCCAAGUGAUGAAAAGAUAACUGCAACAAUAUGAAUUGGAAUUAAGAUUCCGUGAUUCUUAGUAUUUAAGUCUCUGAUGGUU